UCUACUCUCAAUAAGGGCGCACGGUGGAUGCCUUGGCACUAGGAGCCGAUGAAGGACGGGACUAACACCGAUAUGCUUUGGGGAGCUGUAAGUAAGCUAUGAUCCAGAGAUUUCCGAAUGGGGGAACCCAAUAUCUUUUAUAGGAUAUUACUUUUCAGUGAAUACAUAGCUGAUUAGAGGUAGACGCAGAGAACUGAAACAUCUUAGUACCUGCAGGAAGAGAAAGAAAAUUCGAUUCCCUGAGUAGCGGCGAGCGAAACGGGAAGAGCCCAAACCAACAAGCUUGCUUGUUGGGGUUGUAGGACUCCAAUAUGGUAGUCUGUUAGUAUAGUUGAAGGAUUUGGAAAAUUCCGCUAAAGAGGGUGAAAGCCCCGUAGACGAAAUGCUAACAACACCUAGGAGGAUCCUGAGUACGGCGGAACACGAGAAAUUCCGUCGGAAUCCGCGGGGACCAUCCCGCAAGGCUAAAUACUCCCUAGUGACCGAUAGUGAACCAGUACCGUGAGGGAAAGGUGAAAAGCACCCCGGAAGGGGAGUGAAAUAGAUCCUGAAACCGUGUGCCUACAACAAGUCAAAGCUCGUUAAUGAGUGAUGGCGUGCCUUUUGUAGAAUGAACCGGCGAGUUACGAUUGCAUGCGAGGUUAAGUCGAAGAGACGGAGCCGCAGCGAAAGCGAGUCUGAAUAGGGCGAAUGAGUAUGUAGUCGUAGACCCGAAACCAUGUGAUCUACCCAUGUCCAGGUUGAAGGUGCGGUAAAACGCACUGGAGGACCGAACCCACGUACGUUGAAAAGUGCGGGGAUGAGGUGUGGGUAGCGGAGAAAUUCCAAACGAACUUGGAGAUAGCUGGUUCUCUCCGAAAUAGCUUUAGGGCUAGCCUCGGAAUUGAGAAUGAUGGAGGUAGAGCACUGUUUGGACUAGGGGCCCAUCUCGGGUUACCGAAUUCAGAUAAACUCCGAAUGCCAUUCAUUUAUAUCCGGGAGUCAGACUGCGAGUGAUAAGAUCCGUAGUCGAAAGGGAAACAGCCCAGACCACCAGCUAAGGUCCCAAAAUAUAUGUUAAGUGGAAAAGGAUGUGGGGUUGCACAGACAACUAGGAUGUUGGCUUAGAAGCAGCCACCAUUUAAAGAGUGCGUAAUAGCUCACUAGUCGAGUGACCCUGCGCCGAAAAUGUACCGGGGCUAAACAUAUUACCGAAGCUGUGGACUACACCAUUAGGUGUAGUGGUAGGAGAGCGUUCUAAGGGCGUUGAAGGUCGAUCGUGAGGACGGCUGGAGCGCUUAGAAGUGAGAAUGCCGGUAUGAGUAGCGAAAGACAGGUGAGAAUCCUGUCCACCGUAUGACUAAGGUUUCCUGGGGAAGGCUCGUCCGCCCAGGGUUAGUCGGGACCUAAGCCGAGGCCGAUAGGCGUAGGCGAUGGACAACAGGUUGAUAUUCCUGUACCAGUUGUUUUUGUUUGA
rnacentral:rRNA from 1 species